rnacentral:rRNA from 1 species
UACGAAGGGUGCGAGCGUUAAUCGGAAUUACUGGGCGUAAAGGGUGCGUAGACGGCUCUUUAAGUCAGGUGUGAAAUCCCUGGGCUCAACCUGGGAAUGGCAUCUGAUACUGGAGAGCUUUGAUUCUGGAAGAGGAUGGUGGAAUUCCUGGUGUAGCGGUGAAAUGCGUAGAGAUCAGGAGGAACACUAGUGGCGAAGGCGGCCAUCUGGUCUAAGAAUGACGUUGAGGCACGAAAGCGUGGGGAGCAAACAGG